AGAACGAACGCUGGCGGCAUGCCUAACACAUGCAAGUCGAACGAGACCUUCGGGUCUAGUGGCGCACGGGUGCGUAACGCGUGGGAAUCUGCCCUUGGGUUCGGAAUAACAGCGAGAAAUUGCUGCUAAUACCGGAUGAUGACGUAAGUCCAAAGAUUUAUCGCCCAAGGAUGAGCCCGCGUAGGAUUAGCUUGUUGGUGAGGUAAGAGCUCACCAAGGCGACGAUCCUUAGCUGGUCUGAGAGGAUGAUCAGCCACACUGGGACUGAGACACGGCCCAGACUCCUACGGGGAGCAGCAGUGGGGAAUA
rnacentral:rRNA from 1 species